rnacentral:rRNA from 2 species
UGCAGUCGAGCGGUAGAGAGAAGCUUGCUUCUCUUGAGAGCGGCGGACGGGUGAGUAAUGCCUAGGAAUCUGCCUGGUAGUGGGGGAUAACGUUCGGAAACGGACGCUAAUACCGCAUACGUCCUACGGGAGAAAGCAGGGGACCUUCGGGCCUUGCGCUAUCAGAUGAGCCUAGGUCGGAUUAGCUAGUUGGUGGGGUAAUGGCUCACCAAGGCGACGAUCCGUAACUGGUCUGAGAGGAUGAUCAGUCACACUGGAACUGAGACACGGUCCAGACUCCUACGGGAGGCAGCAGUGGGGAAUAUUGGACAAUGGGCGAAAGCCUGAUCCAGCCAUGCCGCGUGUGUGAAGAAGGUCUUCGGAUUGUAAAGCACUUUAAGUUGGGAGGAAGGGUUGUAGAUUAAUACUCUGCAAUUUUGACGUUACCGACAGAAUAAGCACCGGCUAACUCUGUGCCAGCAGCCGCGGUAAUACAGAGGGUGCAAGCGUUAAUCGGAAUUACUGGGCGUAAAGCGCGCGUAGGUGGUUUGUUAAGUUGGAUGUGAAAUCCCCGGGCUCAACCUGGGAACUGCAUUCAAAACUGACUGACUAGAGUAUGGUAGAGGGUGGUGGAAUUUCCUGUGUAGCGGUGAAAUGCGUAGAUAUAGGAAGGAACACCAGUGGCGAAGGCGACCACCUGGACUAAUACUGACACUGAGGUGCGAAAGCGUGGGGAGCAAACAGGAUUAGAUACCCUGGUAGUCCACGCCGU